GGGUAGCUCAGUUGGUUUUGGCAUGGUGCUGACAAUGUCAAGGUUGCAAGUUCAAUCCCUGUAAGAGACA